rnacentral:rRNA from 1 species
AGCGCAACCCUUGUCAUUAGUUGCUACGAAAGGGCACUCUAAUGAGACUGCCGGUGACAAACCGGAGGAAGGUGGGGAUGACGUCAAGUCCUCAUGGCCCUUAUGGGUAGGGCUUCACACGUCAUACAAUGGUCGGGACAGAGGGUUGCCAACCCGCGAGGGGGAGCUAAUCCCAUAAACCCGAUCGUAGUCCGGAUUGCAGUCUGCAACUCGACUGCAUGAAGUCGGAAUCGCUAGUAAUCGCGGAUCAGCAUGUCGCGGUGAAUACGUUCCCGGGUCUU